rnacentral:rRNA from 1 species
AGUCGAAGGUAGCACAGAGAGCUUGCUCUCGGGUGACGAGUGGCGGACGGGUGAGUAAUGUCUGGGAAACUGCCUGAUGGAGGGGGAUAACUACUGGAAACGGUAGCUAAUACCGCAUAACGUCGCAAGACCAAAGAGGGGGACCUUCGGGCCUCUUGCCAUCAGAUGUGCCCAGAUGGGAUUAGCUAGUAGGUGGGGUAACGGCUCACCUAGGCGACGAUCCCUAGCUGGUCUGAGAGGAUGACCAGCCACACUGGAACUGAGACACGGUCCAGACUCCUACGGGAGGCAGCAGUGGGGAAUAUUGCACAAUGGGCGCAAGCCUGAUGCAGCCAUGCCGCGUGUAUGAAGAAGGCCUUCGGGUUGUAAAGUACUUUCAGCGGGGAGGAAGGUGUUGUGGUUAAUAACCACAGCAAUUGACGUUACCCGCAGAAGAAGCACCGGCUAACUCCGUGCCAGCAGCCGCGGUAAUACGGAGGGUGCAAGCGUUAAUCGGAAUUACUGGGCGUAAAGCGCACGCAGGCGGUCUGUCAAGUCGGAUGUGAAAUCUCCGGGCUCAACCUGGGAACUGCAUUCGAAACUGGCAGGCUAGAGUCUCGUAGAGGGGGGUAGAAUUCCAGGUGUAGCGGUGAAAUGCGUAGAGAUCUGGAGGAUACCGGUGGCGAAAGCGGGCCCCUGGGACAAAGACUGACGCUCAAGUGCCAAAGCGUGGGGAGCAAACAAGGAUAAAUACCCUGGGUAUCCACGCCCUAAACGAUGUCGAAUUUGAAGGUGGGGCCUUGGAGCGUGGCUUCCCGGACUUACACGUUAAAUCCACCGCCUGGGGAGUACGGCCGCAAGGUUAAAACUCAAAUGAAUUGACGGGGGCCCGCACAAGCGGUGGAGCAUGUGGUUUAAUUCGAUGCAACGCGAAGAACCUUACCUGGUCUUGACAUCCACAGAACUUAGCAGAGAUGCUUUGGUGCCUUCGGGAACUGUGAGACAGGUGCUGCAUGGCUGUCGUCAGCUCGUGUUGUGAAAUGUUGGGUUAAGUCCCGCAACGAGCGCAACCCUUAUCCUUUGUUGCCAGCGGUUAGGCCGGGAACUCAAAGGAGACUGCCAGUGAUAAACUGGAGGAAGGUGGGGAUGACGUCAAGUCAUCAUGGCCCUUACGACCAGGGCUACACACGUGCUACAAUGGCGCAUACAAAGAGAAGCGACCUCGCGAGAGCAAGCGGACCUCAUAAAGUGCGUCGUAGUCCGGAUUGGAGUCUGCAACUCGACUCCAUGAAGUCGGAAUCGCUAGUAAUCGUAGAUCAGAAUGCUACGGUGAAUACGUUCCCGGGCCUUGUACACACCGCCCGUCACACCAUGGGAGUGGGUUGCAAAAGAAGUAGGUAGCUUAACCUUCGGGAGGGCGCUUACCACUUUGUAUUCAUGACUGGGG